AGCAGCAGCCACGGUAAUACAGAGGGUGCGAGCGUUAAUCGGAUUUACUGGGCGUAAAGCGUGCGUAGGCGGCUUUUUAAGUCGGAUGUGAAAUCCCUGAGCUUAACUUAGGAAUUGCAUUCGAUACUGGGAAGCUAGAGUAUGGGAGAGGAUGGUAGAAUUCCAGGUGUAGCGGUGAAAUGCGUAGAGAUCUGGAGGAAUACCGAUGGCGAAGGCAGCCAUCUGGCCUAAUACUGACGCUGAGGUACGAAAGCAUGGGGAGCAAACAGGAUUAGAUACCCGCGUAGUCCCUGUCUCUUAUAC
rnacentral:rRNA from 1 species